UGAGGGGGAGCUCAGCGGCGGCGGCGUUGGGGGUUGAGAAGAAAGUUCGCGUCCACUCGACGGACGGACGAGUUCCUGAGGCCCGUGCUUGGCGCGAGAACGCUGCUCCCUCCCUCUCUGUGCUUAGAGCCGCGUGUUCACACGCAAGGGUUGGAAAGUGCAGAAGAAGUGCGAGACACGACACGCAAACAACAACAACUGCCGGUCACCACUAAGUGGCGGUGAAGUCACCACGGGCACGUGUGCCACGCGAGGUGCACACGCAAAGUUGCGCCAGUGCACACACAAGCGAGAGAGCCGCGAGGCCUGCUGUUGAACGACGGCGCGCUGCCGUGCUUACAAGCAGCAGGAGAAUUGGUUGAAGAAAAAAAGAAACCCCGUUACGAACGAGCGACGGCACUUUUUGAGUCGCACGAGGCUUGGGGAGCGCGGCUCUACAGACGACGAACGGCCGUGCCCCGCGGCGAGGCCCCUCGCUGUUCACGUCCUCUCGCGAGGCCCGGCCCAGACGGAGCCGUCCCCCAAGGUCGUCCAAGCGUGAAAAAAACCCCGCGGGCUCUUCUUUUUCUUCCCGCUACCGUCCACACGAGGGGACGACUUCAAAGAGGGCGUUCCCGAAGCUGCAUUUCGGGAGAGGCGGAUCGGACGUCGAAUACGGAGCAGGAGGAAUGAGCCCUCGAACACGGCGCUGUUUUGCCUUUCGGAGCGACGGCGGCGGCAUCAUCAUCACUAUCGUGACGGAGAGCGGCGGAAAUGAAGAAAUAACGGUGGCCGCUGCAAAACACGGGGACUGCGGCUCAAAGUGAAACGAGCGUCGUAAGCAGCCGGUGGGGUUGGUGAUGACUUGACCGUAGGUCGAGUCGUCGUUUGUAAUGCCAGUGCAAGGACAGCGCAGGCCUACAGCCAGAGGCGUGGAGGGGUUUGGCCAGGCCCCAUUAAUUGACAAUAUAUUGCAUUGCAUCGUUAAUUGCCACCCAUAUUGGUAUGUACCGUAUGUAUGUUGAACGUUUUUCUCACCGUACACAGCCAAAAGCUACAUUUUUAUAAUAUAUAAAAUAAAACAAUUUCACUUCGUCAACAAAAAAUACUGCAGCUUCUGUUGUCACAGAGAAUGUGGAAUGUUCAAACAGAGUAAAGUGGUCAUAGGAUUUCAUCAAUUUUCAGUCAAAAACAACACAAAAAAAUAUUUAUUCUGUGACGAAAAAAAUCUGAAAAUGGGCCUAAUUCCAUUUGGCAGAAAGGGCGCUUGUGGAAGGUCGCCCUUUGGCCAAUCGAGACGUUUGUCUCAAGGGGCUCCCACCUGGGUGCAACGUCCACGAGUGCAUGGAAGUUAAAACGGCCAAAUGUUUGGGGGGAAAACGCCUGCGCCUUGUCCAUUGUUUUCAGUAGAUUUUGGCAUCGUCACCAACAUAUGAAUCAGACCAAAAGUUUUCAUCGGGUUUCAUCAACCUGCAUCCGGUGCAACUGGCGAUGUCAAUUAAACGGACAGCAUCGUCUCUUCACGUGGGAACUCACUGCUGCGACGUCUGCUUCAAACUCUUCCCCUCGGUUAUGAGCAACGUGCGGAGCGGCGCUUGGGCAGCGAAGCGGCGCUGCUUUAGCUCGGUGUGGCGCACGAGCCAAAGGCGAGGUGGCAACACGAAGUGGGCCUGGGCGAUCGACGCGAUUGAGCCCGGGGAAGCGGUUCGCUCUGCAGCGCAGCCUCAUUCCGCGUGUGUCGGUCACGACUCUCGUCCGCUUGGCAGGCGGCUCCGGUGAUCGGUUUGCAAUAAAACGCAGCCCUAACAACUUGGGCAGACGAAGUCCUUCAGGGAGUGCUGUGACGGCUCUUGAGCACAAGAGCCGUCACAGGGCGGAGUGAUCAUUUUGCGACAAGAAUGAAUGCCGGCAUCUCUCUGGUCUGCAGAUUAAUGGCGCAGCUAUUCGCCCUAGUAAUUUGUGGUGGUAUACAUGUAGACUGUCUAUCGGUUAAUUUCAGAGACGUAUCGCCACGUCGCGUAGGACAGAGCCAGGGGUUACGUUCAGCGGCAGUGCAGCUACCCCUCGUGAGCCACACUCUCAGAAGCCAACUGGGAAAAGAAAAUAAACCCAGCCGGCACAAACAAAACCGUGCCAAGGAAAGACAGAUUUCCACAGAAGAUGAUGACAGAGCAUCGAGCACAGAGUGUGGAAAGUUCUCUGCACCCCAGGGUGGAAGGGCAGAGGAAACAACUGACAGCUCUCCCGCUUUCCUACGUCCGUCCGUCUGUUCCACGUUUCGCAAUCCUCACCAAAGCCAAACAGCGCGCAUUUACAGAGCACCCAACUAUCAUCGCAUCUCACGACACAGGGCAGAAGAGUGGGACGCACGUCACAUGACAUAAGGACGCGUAGUGUAUAAUACUACACGCACAUCAUUAAUGAUAUGGCUAUCCAAGAUGUGCACCACGGGGUGGCAACGCGGACUGCAGUUUGUGAUUCACGUUGUUAGAGGAACAGCAGCAAGCAGCAUCGACGGAGUCCAACCGCUGGCCGGCACGGUCUCCUAAACACCACGACUGCAGCCCCACUGGUGUUCAUCGCCCACGACAUCAACGUUGCUACUUCACACACCACGUUGGCCUUCGUUACAGUUCCCACCAGGAUAUCGGACUCCCUCGGUAACGGUUUCAACGCACGGUUUUGGAUGCCGAACCGCGACGUUUCAACACUUCCGAGCGCCGCACUGCGGUGGUGCGUGGCCCGGUGACUCCACGCGGUGACUCCACGCGGUGACUCCACGCGGUGACUCCACGCGGUGACUCCACGCGGUGACUCCACGCGGUGACUCCACGCGGUGACUCCACGCGGUGACUCCACGCGGUGACCCCACGCGGUGACCCCACGCGGCGACCCCACGCGGCGACCCCACGCGGCGACCCCACGCGGCGACCCCACGCGGUGACUCCACGCGGCGACUCCACGCGGCGACCCCACGCGGUGACCCCACGCGGUGACUCCACGCGGUGACCCCACGCGGUGACUCCACGCGGUGACCCCACGUGGUGACCUCACGUGGUGACUCCACACGGUGACCCCACGCGGUGACCCCACACGGGGACUCGCGAGUAGCAGAGCCGGCGGCUGCAUGACGCCUCAAUCCAUCGAUCGGCUGCAUGACCCCUCAAUCCAUCGGCGUGAGCGGGAGACGGCGCGCGUCGCAGCGCAGGAGUCGAACCCGGGAAUGACGUUGAACGGGGCUGUCGACGCGAUCGCAAAGGGGCAUGCACCACCGCAAACAUUCUUGAGUUGUCCGUGCAGUAUUAACUUGCUUGUUUUUCCUUUCUCGGAAGCACUUUAAAUUUAAUCCAUGUUUUUGCGUGACAAAGUAGAGUACAGAUUAGCUACGUGACUUGUUUUAAAUGUUCGUGUUUAAUGUUCGUGUUGAAUGUUUGUGUUGAAUGCUGCUAAACAGCCGCACCGUUGACAAAAACGAAGCGACUGCGCUCUUAGCUCGGCUUUGCCUUAAUCUGUGGAAGCACGGGGGGGUGUUGUCUGAGCUCGACGAAGCAUUUUGUCGAAUUGCCGUGCGGGCCGUCUUCACCGUGGAGAACACUCGCGCGGAGGUGAACUAUUUCGCCAAGCGAUGUACGACUGAGCUGCCUCGCCUUCAGUCACAACGUGCUUCUCACGACGAGUGGUUUGAAAUCGAUCCCGCCGACCAGCCUGUCACUUGGCAUCCCAUGUACACAUUGUGUUACGCAUUCCAUGCCCGUUUUCCUGGGAGAAAUGCAAUAUACCUAUUUAGAUUUGUAUUUUAACCAAAACAUUCCGAAUCAAAUGUCCCCACGCUCUCUGGAGCAAGGCGUUGUGACCACCAUCACCACUACCGUCGGCACUGCUCUCAAGCUGCUGAUGGAAACUUCACAUUCCGAUGUCGGGGGCGGCUGUGAACUUCACGGGCACGGCGCACCAGCGCCGUCUACCUACGGACAGCUGUGCACCAUCUGCACGCGCGGGGCCCGUCUCUGCCCGACUCCUCAAGGAAGCGGUUUCGCUUUCGUUUCCACCGAUUUCCGGUCGGCAGAGGCCCUCCUCCAGUUGCUUGCCACGCGGAUGGCUUCUAAGGACGAUGGUGAUAAUGGUGAUGAUGAUGAAAAUAUUGUGCGACACUUUGUACAGUUUAUAGGACUAAGUGCAUUCUAAUAUUCAUAUAUUUUAAAGAUUUUUUUGUAAUGUAUGACAAGCUCUACACGAUUUAAAAAAAAAACAAUAAAUGAAUUGAGACGUC